rnacentral:rRNA from 1 species
UUACCGAGUGCGGGCCCUCUGGGUCCAACCUCCCAUCCGUGUCUAUCUGUACCCUGUUGCUUCGGCGUGGCCACGGCCCGCCGGAGACUAACAUUUGAACGCUGUCUGAAGUUUGCAGUCUGAGUUUUUAGUUAAACAAUCGUUAAAACUUUCAACAACGGAUCUCUUGGUUCCGGCAUCGAUGAAGAACGCAGCGAAAUGCGAUAAUUAAUGUGAAUUGCAGAAUUCAGUGAAUCAUCGAGUCUUUGAACGCACAUUGCGCCCCCUGGUAUUCCGGGGGGCAUGCCUGUCCGAGCGUCAUUGCUGCCCUCAAGCACGGCUUGUGUGUUGGGCUUCCGUCCCUGGCAACGGGGACGGGCCCAAAAGGCAGUGGCGGCACCAUGUCUGGUCCUCGAGCGUAUGGGGCUUUGUCACCCGCUCCCGUAGGUCCAGCUGGCAGCUAGCCUCGCAACCAAUCUUUUUAACCAGGUUGACCUCGGAUCAGGUAGGGAUACCCGCUGAACUUAAGCAUAUCAAUAAGCGGAGGAAAAGAAACCAACCGGGAUUGCCUCAGUAACGGCGAGUGAAGCGGCAAGAGCUCAAAUUUGAAAUCUGGCCCCUCCGGGGUCCGAGUUGUAAUUUGUAGAGGAUGCUUCGGGUGCGGCCCCCGUCUAAGUGCUCUGGAACGGGCCAUCGGAGAGGGUGAGAAUCCCGUCUGGGACGGGGUGUCCGCGUCCAUGUGAAGCUCCUUCGACGAGUCGAGUUGUUUGGGAAUGCAGCUCUAAAUGGGUGGUAAAUUUCAUCUAAAGCUAAAUACUGGCCGGAGACCGAUAGCGCACAAGUAGAGUGAUCGAAAGAUGAAAAGCACUUUGAAAAGAGAGUUAAACAGCACGUGAAAUUGUUGAAAGGGAAGCGCUUGCGACCAGACUCGCUUCCGGGGUUCAGCCGGCUUUCGGGCCGGUGUACUUCCCCGGGGGCGGGCCAGCGUCGGUUUGGGCGGCCGGUCAAAGGCCCCUGGAAUGUAACGCCUCUCGGGGCGCCUUAUAGCCAGGGGUGUCAUGCGGCCAGCCUGGACCGAG